GCUAGGGCCUCCCGUCGGGUAGACCGUUCGCGUGGUGCAGGUCUUUCGAUUUGAAAUUCGAUGACCAUAAAAUCAUUUUGAAGACUCUAAAACAUUAUAAUCAGCAAUUUUUUGAUCGUAAUAGUUUUCAAAAGCUAUGAGAGAUGAAAAAUAUGACAUGUCGCUUUAGUGACGAAUUUAAACAUCCCUUUUCAAUACAAUCUGUAGAGUGAUAUGUUCUGUAAGCUUUAUCGCAGAGAUAGUAUUGCACGAUUUGAUACGCGGUUAUCAAAUACAAGUCAUACAGUAUAUGUUGUCUGUACGUAAGAAAUAGUGCGAAGUUCAAGGUACAUGGUGAAGAAUUUUCUGCAUAAUGUCAAAGGCAGUAACAUCAGAUGACAGUCCUAAUGAUCCGAACCCACUAACUUUUACUGAAAUUGAAAUACCUGUUCCUUGGGGCAAAAUUGCAGCGAUGACAUGCGGCGAUUCUUCCAGUCAUCCCAUUUUAUGUCUGCAUGGCUUACUGGAUAAUAGCGCGUCAUUUGAUAGACUCAUGCACGCAUUAUCACUGAAAUCACAUUUCUUUGUAAGCAUUGAUCUCCCUGGCCACGGAAAAUCAUCACAUUUGGAGCCUGGGACACAAUAUCGUUUCCUGGAUUUUUUGACAGUUGUUCUGAGGAUUAAACAGUACUUUCAAUGGGAAAGGUUUUCUAUUAUAGGACACGAAAUGGGAGGACUCUUAGGUCUUUAUUUUGCAGCAUAUUUUCCUAAAGCUGUUGAGAAACUUGUCGUGCUGAAUCCAGUGUGCUAUUUGACACGAAACAAAGACCAAAGCCAACGAUUUAUAAAAACUGCUGAAUCUGCUUAUAAAGUGCAGCAUCAACCCAAAGAAAUUACUUUUACAACGUUGACUGAUGCACUGGAUUAUAUUUUAAAUUUGCGGAAGACUAAAUUGUCCAGCGAAUUACUUCCAGUUUUACUAAGAAAUGUCUACCCUGUUGGUAACAUGUAUAUGUUGUCCAUAGACAGUAGAAUUAGUGCAUUAGAAUUCCCAGUAAUAAGUGAGAAACAGUUGUAUCAAAUUUUUAAUAAAAUAACAUGCGAGCUUUUUAUCAUCACUUCUUCAGAUAAAAGAGAAGAUUUUAAAAUGUUGCCAGUUGCUUAUUUUACCCGUUUAUUUAAGAAAAACUGUGUAAGAUUUGGAACCAUCACAUUAAAAGGAGACACUGAUCUACAUUUACACAAGCCAAAAACAGUUUCGUCUCAAGUACGGCAAUUAUUUUUGGACUUUAGGUCAUCUUUAUGAAAGUUUCAAUAUACCUAUCAAUGUGAACUGUAAAUUCAAAACACUAAUGUGGUGGUUGUUAUGAUCUAUUGGUUUACCGGAAUAUAGAGUCAAGCAAAGGUUUGGGGAGCCGCAGACAAUAUACCACUUCUUGCUGUGCAUGGACUUCAAGACAACGCUGGGACAUUUGAUCGCCUUGUGCCCUUUUUGCCAAAACAUUUUUACAUAGUUUGCAUAGAUUUACCUGGU
rnacentral:misc_RNA from 1 species